GACGAACGCUGGCGGCGUGCCUAAUACAUGCAAGUCGAACGCACAGUUUAUACCGUAGCUUGCUACACCAUAAACUGUGAGUUGCGAACGGGUGAGUAACGCGUAGGUAACCUGCCUGGUAGCGGGGGAUAACUAUUGGAAACGAUAGCUAAUACCGCAUAAUAUUAAUUAUUGCAUGAUAAUUGAUUGAAAGAUGCAAUUGCAUCACUACCAGAUGGACCUGCGUUGUAUUAGCUAGUAGGUGAGGUAACGGCUCACCUAGGCGACGAUACAUAGCCGACCGGCGAGGGUGAGCGGCCACACUGGGACUGAGACACGGCCCAGACGCCUACGGGAGGCAGCAGUAGGGAAUCUGCGGCAAUGGACGAAAGUCUGACCGAGCAACGCCGCGUGAGUGAAGAAGGUUGUCGGAUCGUAAAGCUCUGUUGUAAGGGAAGAACGGGUGUGAGAGUGGAAAGUUCACACUGUGACGGUAACUUACCAGAAAGGGACGGCUAACUACGUG
rnacentral:rRNA from 1 species